CGCGUAGGUGACCUGCGGAAAGGAUCAUUG
rnacentral:rRNA from 1 species